UUUGGCAUACAAAGUGGUCUGACUGCAGAAGCAGUGGAGCAGUUGGCCAAGGAGCACGAGAGAUGCAGCAAGGAGCUGCAGCAGGCCUAUGCUGAACUCAACCGACGAAUAACGGAGCAUGACAAGUGC